rnacentral:rRNA from 1 species
UCUGCCUGUUUAUCAAAAACAUGUCUAUAAGAAGUUUUUUAUAGUUCUGGCCUGCCCACUGAUAAUUUAAAUUAAAGGGCCGCGGUAUUUUGACCGUGCGAAGGUAGCAUAAUAAUUAGUCUCCUAAUUAGAGGCAUUGUAUGAAUGGUCGGACAAGAAUGGGAACUGUCUCAAUAUAAAAAAUAAAAUUUAAUAAUUAAGUAAAAAAGCUUAAAUUAAACAGAGUGACGAUAAGACCCUAUGAAAGCUUUAUGAGUGUGCUUCUUUUAUAUGUAAAAUGAAUUUAAUAUUAACAUAUUAAAGAAAUCACAUUAUUUUACUGGGGCGGUAAAAGUAUAAAUGAUUAACUGCUUUUGUUAUGCAAAACAAUGAUAAUUGGUAUGUAAAUUGAUCCAUUAAUAAUGAUUAUAAAAACAAGUUACUUUAGGGAUAACAGCGUAAUUUUUCUUGAGAGUCCUUAUCGAAAGAAAAGUUUGCGACCUCGAUGUUGAAUUAAGGGUUACCUUAAGGUGCAGCAGGUUUUAAAGGUAGAUCUGUUCGAUCUUUAAACCCUUACAUGAUUUGAGUUCAUCCCGAGCGUGAGCCAGGUUGGUUUCUAUCUUCUGUUAAAUUUAAACUUAUUUUAGUACGAAAGGAUUUGGUAAGUCAAAAACUUUGUUGUUAAUGAAUUAAAUU